rnacentral:rRNA from 1 species
UACAUAGGGGGCAAGCGUUGUCCGGAAUCACUGGGCGUAAAGGGCGCGUAGGCGGUUAAUUAAGUCAGAUGUGAAACCUUAGGGCUCAACCUUAAGCAUGCAUCUGAUACUGGUUGACUUGAGUGUGAGAGAGGAAAGUGGAAUUCCUAGUGUAGCGGUGAAAUGCGUAGAUAUUAGGAGGAACACCAGUGGCGAAGGCGACUUUCUGGCUCAUUACUGACGCUGAGGCGCGAAAGCGUGGGGAGCAAACAGG